rnacentral:sRNA from 1 species
ACUAGUUGGCUAGCCAAGACCCUGAACACCGAGGGUUUUGGAUACAGAAGCCAAGCUCUGGGUGCUCUCAUCUUGCUCUCACCCCUUUGUCAUCCAUUCCUACACUUUUCUUUAUUCUCUGACCUCCCCCAUCUCAUCAGAAAGCAUGCACAUUAAGUGGCUCAAAGCUAACUCCAUUUAGGAUUUUAAGAAAAUGUGCGGUAGAAAGAAAAACUACCAACACCUUAAUCUCAUAAUGGGCUUUCUGAAGGGAAGACAGAUGUGACAAGACAGAUUGAGCAUCCUCUGAACAAGGCCCUUCAGCAGAAGCCCUACUGAUGUUCUGGGCUACAGUUUUUGCUAUCACGAGACCUACAUAUGGACAUUGAAGAAGGAAGAUUCACUCUUCUUCACCGCUUGCACUGACUUGCCAGCACAUCU